rnacentral:rRNA from 1 species
AAAUUGAAGAGUUUGAUCAUGGCUCAGAUUGAACGCUGGCGGCAGGCCUAACACAUGCAAGUCGAACGGUAACAGGAAGAAGCUUGCUGCUUUGCUGACGAGUGGCGGACGGGUGAGUAAUGUCUGGGAAACUGCCUGAUGGAGGGGGAUAACUACUGGAAACGGUAGCUAAUACCGCAUAACGUCGCAAGACCAAAGAGGGGGACCUUCGGGCCUCUUGCCAUCGGAUGUGCCCAGAUGGGAUUAGCUAGUAGGUGGGGUAACGGCUCACCUAGGCGACGAUCCCUAGCUGGUCUGAGAGGAUGACCAGCCACACUGGAACUGAGACACGGUCCAGACUCCUACGGGAGGCAGCAGUGGGGAAUAUUGCACAAUGGGCGCAAGCCUGAUGCAGCCAUGCCGCGUGUAUGAAGAAGGCCUUCGGGUUGUAAAGUACUUUCAGCGGGGAGGAAGGGAGUAAAGUUAAUACCUUUGCUCAUUGACGUUACCCGCAGAAGAAGCACCGGCUAACUCCGUGCCAGCAGCCGCGGUAAUACGGAGGGUGCAAGCGUUAAUCGGAAUUACUGGGCGUAAAGCGCACGCAGGCGGUUUGUUAAGUCAGAUGUGAAAUCCCCGGGCUCAACCUGGGAACUGCAUCUGAUACUGGCAAGCUUGAGUCUCGUAGAGGGGGGUAGAAUUCCAGGUGUAGCGGUGAAAUGCGUAGAGAUCUGGAGGAAUACCGGUGGCGAAGGCGGCCCCCUGGACGAAGACUGACGCUCAGGUGCGAAAGCGUGGGGAGCAAACAGGAUUAGAUACCCUGGUAGUCCACGCCGUAAACGAUGUCGACUUGGAGGUUGUGCCCUUGAGGCGUGGCUUCCGGAGCUAACGCGUUAAGUCGACCGCCUGGGGAGUACGGCCGCAAGGUUAAAACUCAAAUGAAUUGACGGGGGCCCGCACAAGCGGUGGAGCAUGUGGUUUAAUUCGAUGCAACGCGAAGAACCUUACCUGGUCUUGACAUCCACGGAAGUUUUCAGAGAUGGAAUGGUGCCUUCGGGAACCGUGAGACAGGUGCUGCAUGGCUGUCGUCAGCUCGUGUUGUGAAAUGUUGGGUUAAGUCCCGCAACGAGCGCAACCCUUAUCCUUUGUUGCCAGCGGUCCGGCCGGGAACUCAAAGGAGACUGCCAGUGAUAAACUGGAGGAAGGUGGGGAUGACGUCAAGUCAUCAUGGCCCUUACGACCAGGGCUACACACGUGCUACAAUGGCGCAUACAAAGAGAAGCGACCUCGCGAGAGCAAGCGGACCUCAUAAAGUGCGUCGUAGUCCGGAUUGGAGUCUGCAACUCGACUCCAUGAAGUCGGAAUCGCUAGUAAUCGUGGAUCAGAAUGCCACGGUGAAUACGUUCCCGGGCCUUGUACACACCGCCCGUCACACCAUGGGAGUGGGUUGCAAAAGAAGUAGGUAGCUUAACCUUCGGGAGGGCGCUUACCACUUUGUGAUUCAUGACUGGGGUGAAGUCGUAACAAGGUAACCGUAGGGGAACCUGCGGUUGGAUCACCUCCUUACCUUAAAGAAGC